UUAGUGAUAAAAUUGCUAACAGACGUAUAAAAUUAAUAUCAAAUUGAUAGAAUAAUAUAAUAUAGAAUGUAUUUAAUAGAAAAUAAGUAAUUCCUAUGAUAAUAAAUUAAAGGACAGUUUUCUAGGAUCUAAAUUAUCCCAGUAACUUAUUUAUUAAAAUUUGUAUAAACGCUAAGAUCUUUCACAUUAUUAGCAUAAUGAUAAAUGUUUUUAAAAAUGAUAAAACAUAAAGUUUCCCAUCCCCCCAGAUUAACAGUAAUCUGAAAUUAAUUGUAAACUAUCCAAAGUACAUUCAAGUGAUUCAUAUCGAAGUGACUCUACGAAUGAUUAUUAAAAAUAUAACCACGCUAUGUACAAUUAAUAAACAACUAAGUAAAUAUAUAUGCAUAGUCAAUUACAGUUGCAGAUACAUAGAUUCCGAAAAAAUAAAAAUCACGACAGUCUCACAUGUAUAGUGGCUAAUAUCUCAUUCGCUCUUCGACCUCCGUAGGAGUCAGACGUAUAUCACGAAUGAGCGAGUGCCUCAAACUGCUUGCAAGACGGAUAAAAGAAAUACAUAAAGAGACUAAACUUUGUACGUAUAUACUACCAAAAAAGAAAAUAAGCCAUGAGAGAUAUAGCACCAAGCGCAAAGCCCAAUAACAAAAGCAAAAGCAGCGUCAACAUAUGAAAUUAACCAUCAGGAGGAGAUCUGUAAACAAAACAGAACACUAAACGAAACGGUUGAAAAAUGAAUGGUAUUGCCACAGGAGGAAACGUAAUAAUGAACUUUGAAAAUACAGAAAAUGUUAAAUACGUACAUCUAGGCCCUAAGAAGAAAACCAAAAUUUGCUGCUGGUUGAUUAUUAAACUAUAAUUACGUAUAUAUGUGUAUGUUACUUAAACAACCGGUCCAGAGCGAAUUAACAAGAACAAAAGCAUUAUACUAUACUAUAUUGCAAAGAAACACGGUAGCCGAUCGAGGAAUAGCAUGUAGCCUACUGAAACGAAAUAAUAUACGAUAUUUCACAUAUUUACUUAAUAAAGAGAAGCAUACAACAAUCCUAUUAAAAAAUAUUAAGAUUAACUUCGAAGCACAAAAAGUACUAAAUACACUAUACAUGCAACAAAUAAAAGAAAUAAAUUUUAUAAAUUUAUAAAGCUUCUUAUCUAUGAAAUUUGUGCGAGAAGAUUGAAAUGCUGCCAAAUGCUUCUAGUUUAAAUCUCUGCGUAUAUGACAUUAACAAAUUGAAAGAGAUAAAAAUAAAUUGCUGCACACAUGUACAGCAUGGGAAAAAAUCAUAAAGAGGAAUCGUAUCCUGUACAAGCGAUGUCUGAAAAUAAGUCACUUCACACUUAACUGCAAUUUGAAUUAAAGGUUAAAUGUAAUAUCAUACAGGAUUAAAACGAGUGAUCCCACUCCAACAUAGAUCACGAUAGCGAGGAAAACGUAACAUCUUCUUACGUAAAUUGUAAAAGCUUUGAACAUCUAGCCUCUUACAGAAGAUGCCCGAAACUCAAAGAAAUCAAAAGGUCAAAGAAGAAAUAGAUCAUCCAGCUUUGACAACAUUGCAAACAUAGCUCUGCAAAAAAUCUUCCACCUCUAUAUAUAUGUACUACUAUACAAUUGUAUUUAACAAUUGUUUAAACUUAGCAUACUUCCACAAGAUAAGGAAAA